UGCGCCCCUCCCACCUCCUGGGAGCGCAGGAAUGCGGAACAGAUUUAAACCAAGUUUGAACCAUUGCUUCUGUUUGCUCGUAGUGUAAGGAAACGUCUUUACCGAAGAGGUCUGGAUGCUAAAACAAACCCUGGAUCAGCGUUUUUGUCGAACACGAGUGAGACUGGACGCUGAACACACCUACGGCGCGAAGGUUUACUGGUUCAGCUGCUAGUCUGGACAGAAAUACCACCUCUCACCCGACAAACCAAACAGGUGUCACCUCUUCUUCCAUGAUCAGAGUCUUCAUACAAUGAAGUUAUUCUUUGAGACCAGGACUGAGGCCUUCAGGUGUCAGUACUUCAUCCACAUUGUCCAUAAUCUCAUUGUCUACAAUCACAGAGAUAGUCCACCAUUGCAGAGAUGUUGUUCACGGUCACAGAGAGUCUUCAUACAAUGAAGAAGUUUUUUGAGACCAGGACCAAGGCCUCCAGGUACUUUACAAAGAGCAUUACAUCAGCUGUCCAACACAGAACACUGACAUUAAAUUGUUUAUGUUCAGUACAAGUGCAGCAUUUUUUUGACUGGUUUUGACACCCUAUGUGCUAUGACAUUUAUUGACCAUUUUUGCCCCCUUACUAUACUAUGACAUUUUAUGACAUUUUUUGACCUACACAGUGUUUGUGGGUUAAGUUAGAUUUUGUGUUUGUCAUUUCAUUUUGGUAUUUUGUUUUUUUCAAUAUCAGUACUUAAAUCCAAUAUAUUACUUUGUACAUUGUCCUGUAUAUACUAUUCAUAUUGUUUAUAAUAUUUAUAUUGUUAUGUAUAUUAUUUUGUAUCUUUUCUCGUUUAUGUAUCUAUUUUAGCUGCUGCAACACUGAAUUUACUCAAAUAAAUACUUCUGAACACUGAA